AACGAACGCUGGCGGCAUGCCUAACACAUGCAAGUCGAACGAGACCUUCGGGUCUAGUGGCGCACGGGUGCGUAACGCGUGGGAACCUGCCCUUAGGUUCGGAAUAACUCCCCGAAAGGGGUGCUAAUACCGGAUAAUGUCUUCGGACCAAAGAUUUAUCGCCUUUGGAUGGGCCCGCGUUGGAUUAGCUAGUUGGUAGGGUAAAAGCCUACCAAGGCGACGAUCCAUAGCUGGUCUGAGAGGAUGAUCAGCCACACUGGGACUGAGACACGGCCCAGACUCCUCCGGGAGGCAGCAGUGGGGAAUAUUGGACAAUGGGCGAAAGCCUGAUCCAGCAGUGCCGCGUGAGUGAUGAAGGCCUUAGGGUUGUAAAGCUCUUUUACCCGGGAUGAUAAUGCCAGUACCGGGAGAAUAAGCUCCGGCUAACUCCGU
rnacentral:rRNA from 1 species